GACUGUGUUUUUUGAAAUCUCCAAUAACUCUGGGUGGUGGUAAGAAUAGGCAUCCUUAAUUAAGCCACUUUCCCAGAUAAGGAAACUGGUGUUCCCCUCCUUCUUCUCAACAGCCAGCUGAUGGAACCCAAGCCCUCCACACCAGCACUGGGGCCAGCUGCACAGAGCGGCCAAAAGGGAGCGGCCCGGGGACCACGCCCUUCUCUGUACCCUCAGUUCCUGACUCAUUGUCACAUCAUGGCGAGUAACAGGACAACCCUCCCCACAGAAUCAUGGGGGACACUACCUUCCUGAUGCCAGUGUGUUCAACCAAGCGGGAAACUCUCCAGAACCUGUGGUAUUCUUGUGGGCAUUCUGGAUACCCGGAACAAGCUGAAACAUGAACCCAGACAAUGAAAGAGUUAAGAAGUUUCAGCGGCUUAAGUUGGACAGAUGUCUGCUGAAAAACCAGUUUGCAAAACUAUGUAUGACUCAUGUUUACCUGGCGUUGGAGAACAUUAUCUAUGGAUGGGUGGAGCUUAAGUGUGGGCUUAGCAACUUACUAAUCCUUCAGAUGACUGCAGCCCUAGCCAAGAGCCUGACUGCAACUUCAUGAGAGACCCGGACUUUUGACUUACA